ACGCUGGCGGCGUGCCUAAUACAUGCAAGUAGAACGCUGAAGAGAGGAGCUUGCUCUUCUUGGAUGAGUUGCGAACGGGUGAGUAACGCGUAGGUAACCUGCCUUGUAGCGGGGGAUAACUAUUGGAAACGAUAGCUAAUACCGCAUAACAAUGGAUGACACAUGUCAUUUAUUUGAAAGGGGCAAAUGCUCCACUACAAGAUGGACCUGCGUUGUAUUAGCUAGUAGGUGAGGUAACGGCUCACCUAGGCGACGAUACAUAGCCGACCUGAGAGGGUGAUCGGCCACACUGGGACUGAGACACGGCCCAGACUCCUACGGGAGGCAGCAGUAGGGAAUCUUCGGCAAUGGGGGCAACCCUGACCGAGCAACGCCGCGUGAGUGAAGAAGGUUUUCGGAUCGUAAAGCUCUGUUGUAAGUCAAGAACGAGUGUGAGAGUGGAAAGUUCACACUGUGACGGUAGCUUACCAGAAAGGGACGGCUAACUACGUGCCAGCAGCCGCGGUAAUACGUAGGUCCCGAGCGUUGUCCGGAUUUAUUGGGCGUAAAGCGAGCGCAGGCGGUUUGAUAAGUCUGAAGUUAAAGGCUGUGGCUCAACCAUAGUUCGCUUUGGAAACUGUCAAACUUGAGUGCAGAAGGGGAGAGUGGAAUUCCAUGUGUAGCGGUGAAAUGCGUAGAUAUAUGGAGGAACACCGGUGGCGAAAGCGGCUCUCUGGUCUGUAACUGACGCUGAGGCUCGAAAGCGUGGGGAGCGAACAGGAUUAGAUACCCUGGUAGUCCACGCCGUAAACGAUGAGUGCUAGGUGUUGGAUCCUUUCCGGGAUUCAGUGCCGCAGCUAACGCAUUAAGCACUCCGCCUGGGGAGUACGACCGCAAGGUUGAAACUCAAAGGAAUUGACGGGGGCCCGCACAAGCGGUGAAGCAUGUGGUUUAAUUCGAAGCAACGCGAAGAACCUUACCAGGUCUUGACAUCCCGAUGCUAUUUCUAGAGAUAGAAAGUUACUUCGGUACAUCGGUGACAGGUGGUGCAUGGUUGUCGUCAGCUCGUGUCGUGAGAUGUUGGGUUAAGUCCCGCAACGAGCGCAACCCCUAUUGUUAGUUGCCAUCAUUCAGUUGGGCACUCUAGCGAGACUGCCGGUAAUAAACCGGAGGAAGGUGGGGAUGACGUCAAAUCAUCAUGCCCCUUAUGACCUGGGCUACACACGUGCUACAAUGGUUGGUACAACGAGUUGCGAGUCGGUGACGGCAAGCUAAUCUCUUAAAGCCAAUCUCAGUUCGGAUUGUAGGCUGCAACUCGCCUACAUGAAGUCGGAAUCGCUAGUAAUCGCGGAUCAGCACGCCGCGGUGAAUACGUUCCCGGGCCUUGUACACACCGCCCGUCACACCACGAGAGUUUGUAACACCCGAAGUCAAUGAGGUAACCUUUUGGAGCCAGCCGCCUAAGGUGGGAUAGA
rnacentral:rRNA from 1 species